rnacentral:rRNA from 1 species
GACGAACCGUGCGAACGUUGUUCGGAUUCACUGGGCUUAAAGGGCGCGUAGGCGGGCGAUCAAGUCAGGGGUGAAAUCUUUCGGCCCAACCGGAAAAGUGCCCCUGAUACUGGCCGUCUCGAGGGGGGUAGGGGCAUGCGGAACUUCCGGUGGAGCGGUGAAAUGCGUAGAUAUCAUUUGGAACGCCAAUGGUGAAAACAGCUCGCUGGGGGUGUACUGACACUGAGACACGAAAGCCAGGGGAGCGAACGGG